CUUCAGGAGCUUGACAGAGGGGUCAUCAGAAGUGCAGUGUUUGUGUACAGGGAGAAGAGUAGUGGGGAGAGAACACAGCCCUGGGGGGCGCCAGUGCUGACGGUGCAGGUGCUAGAUUUGAGUUUACCCAGUCGCUCUCUCUAGCUGCUGACUGUCUGUCAAAUAAACAAAUAUGCUAUCCCCUACUCCAUUCAGGAACACAUGACAUACACUUACGGUUCAGAGCUGUGAUGGUGUGAACAGAUGUGAACAACACUUGAGUUGUCGAGACGUCAACAACGUCACCAUCUCAAUUUAUCAAUCAGCUACGAUUUUCUCCACAAAUGUAAGAUUUGUACUUUGUUUAUCUGCUAAAUUGAUCUUGAUGUCAUUUACAAGACUGAUGCUAAUACUGUGUGAUUUUCUGCAGUCUUGUUCCUGCUUACUUCUUAUUU